rnacentral:lncRNA from 1 species
AAUGUUUCCUUCCAGAAUAACAGCAACAUUGAAUAACCUUAUAAAUUGGUAGUAUCCCAACCUUCAAUACUGAUAGUUUCACUUGUGAUAAACAGACCUACUAAGUAGUUGGCACUUGAACUUCCAACAACUAUAAAGAAUUCAACAGCAGGAAACAACUCUCCACAAUCUUUAGCAGUUGCAGGUUUGUUUGCACUCGUAAUAUUUUCGGGCAGUCGAGUGGUUUUU